rnacentral:rRNA from 1 species
UACAGAGGAUGCAAGCGUUAUCCGGAAUGAUUGGGCGUAAAGCGUCUGUAGGUGGCUUUUUAAGUCCGCCGUCAAAUCCCAGGGCUCAACUCUGGACAGGCGGUGGAAACUACCAAGCUGGAGUACGGUAGGGGCAGAGGGAAUUUCCGGUGGAGCGGUGAAAUGCGUAGAGAUCGGAAGGAACGCCGGUGGCGAAAGCGAUCCGCUGGCCCUCUACUGACGCUGAGGCGCGAAAGCGUGGGGAGCAAACAGG